AAUCAGGUUUAUUCAAAACCAAUUUGUUACCAUUAAAAGCGCACUCACACGAAGAGAAUGUCAACAGCAUAAAAAUAACAACUAACUUCUCUCUCCCUCUGUAUUUCUUUUAUUUUCUAAAUAGCUAAAUGGCUAGUCUUCGUUGUUUUUCGCUACAAGUGGUAUCGAAGCGGCGGUCCUGCCACUGCCGCUCUACAACCAUGGUGGAUAACGGCAGCUCUAUAAGAGUAAGCUAAACAACUUGAGUCUUGUUUCUCUCGCGUUGAAGCUUUUAGCUAGGUCAAAUCAACGAGGGGCUCAAGAAACACACUGGAGGGACUGAGACCAAACUUGCUGAGCUGAAACAGAAGCUUGGUUUGUUACUGCGCUAAAAAGGGUUAAAUGUGGUGGAAACAGUACAGAUUGGCCUGAAAUUCAAUCCUUCUGGCCCUGUCAAUUGGGGUUCACCGCUACACCACGUUUCCCCACAAGAACCUGGGUUAGAAAAUGUCGCAAAUGCUUACAGAUUUACCAAAUUCCAGAGGAACAGGAGUAAGCUGCUAUGUUCUUGGAGGGGAAGGAAAACAUUUGGUUUCAGGGCUUUAACCACACCAUCUACCCAUCGAGGUUCUCCAUCCUUUUAUCACCACCUCCCAAUCGAAACUCUCACACAACAACCCAAACCAGUACCCAUAAUCAUAGCACUUGCAACAAACCACCAUUUCCUCAUUUUUCCACUCAGAAACCCUAAUGUUUCAAGUGCGGUAUCCAUAUUUUCCUGUCAUCAAUGCAAAGGGAAGGAUUUAAAUAGUCUUGAGUCUUAGGAAGACAUGGUAGAGGAGUUUGAGAAUGGAGAGUUAGCGGAUGGUUUGAUUGAGAUUGACGAGUAGGUCGUGGAGGAGUAUGGGUUAUCAGUGAAUGCAAUUCCUGGCAGCAUCACUUGCAACACUAUUCUAAUUGAAGGGGAAACUAAUAAACUACCUUUAGCCAUCCUAAUUGACAGUGGAAGCGCGCACAGUUUUGUAGAUGUCAAUAGAAUUCCAAUUCUCAUUGUCGGGGGAAGUGAAUAAAAAAAUGACAAACCACUACCGCUGUUCCUCUCAGUGUAAUAGUAGCUGAAGGUAGUGUGAUUCAGUGUAGAGCCAAAUGUCCAAAUUCUGAAUGACAUAUUUUUUUUACUAACCCGCUAGUUCUGCAGUCAAGGGGCAAUGACAUGGUGCGUGGGGCUGAUUAGAUGAAGGCAUGCAACCCAAUUCUAUCUGAUUUCUUGAAGAUGAGCCUGACCUUCUAGAAGGACGGGCAAGAAAUAGUUCUUAAGGGAAUUAUUGGUAAUCAGGGGUUGAAUUAAAAAUGAUUUUCGCAGAGUAAGCAGAGAAGGCUCUGUACCAGGAUGUCUAUGGACUGGUGGCUCAAUUGUUUGCUAUCCAUGGGCAGGAACAGAAGCUUGAGGAGAUUCAGCCUGUGGUGCAUGAUUUGUCACUGGAAUUCGAUGCAAUCUUCGCUGAACCUACUCAGCUACCACCAAGCAGGGAGUGUGAUCACUGGAUUCCACUGGAAGAAGGCACUAAACCAGUCAAUCCUUGACCAUAUAGACAUUCCCAUGGCCAACACUUGGAGAUUCUGUGAGUUAUACAGUGAUGAAUGGUUUUCCAAGAUCGAUUUAUGAGCUGGAUAUCAAAAACACAUGGCACUCUCAAUUUAUGAGAAAGAGUUGGCUAUAUUGCUAGCAGUUCAGAAAUGGAGGUACUACUUGGAGAGUAAGAAAUUUAUUAUCAAGAGAGCUUGAAAUACAUGUUAGAGCAGCGCAUCAACACUUCUAUCCAAAAGAAAGGGCUCAAGAAAUUGUAGGGGAUCCAAUAUGAGAUUCACAACACUUACUAGAGAGUGAAGAAUUCUUUUUUGUUGGCCUAAAUUGAAAGAUAGUGUAAAGAGAGUGGUGGAAGAAUGUGAUCCAUGUGCCAGAAACAAAAGUGAGAUUGUAGCAUACCCCGGGUUGCUGCAACCUCUACCCACUCCUCCUCGUUCUUGGAGUGACAUCACUAUGGACUUCAUUGAAGGAGGUGGUUGACAGGUUCAUAUAAUAUACCCAUUUUCUUACUCUGAGUCAUCCUUUUACAGCUUUGAAUAUGGCCAAAUUUUUUUCAAGCAUGUUUAUAAAUUGCAUGGUGUUCCACCUCGCAAGUGACUGACAGCGAUAGGUUACUCGUUACCUUGUUUUGGAGAGAAUUUUUGAGACUAAUGGGCACUAAGUCGCGUUCUAGUUCAACACAUCACCCAGUCAGAUGGGCAGACAAAAAAGUUGAAUAGAAGUUUGCCAACUUUUUUGAGGUGCAUGACUUUCCAGGGGUAUAAACAGUGGCGCAAAUGGAUUUCUUUGGCUGAAUUUCGGUACAAUACCAAUUUUCAUUCAGAAAUUGAGAUGACCCCUCACCAAGCUCUGUAUGGGAUACCCCAACCUGUGGCCAGUAUUGCUGAAUUGUUGCAAGAGAAAACUCAGAUGGUGGCAUUGCUCAAGGAAAAUUUGUAGAAGACUCGAAAUUGGAUGAAACAACAAGCUAACAAGGGCAAAACUGCGCGCAAUUUUUGUGGGGGUGGCCAAGUUUGCCUCAAGCUGUAACCUUUGAGACAAAUUUCAGUAUCCUUGCAGAAAGAACCUCUUUAGGGUCUUAAAUCCAUCCAGCCUUCCAUGUUUCAUUAAUCAAAGAGGAAACUAGGAGCCGGGGUGGUUCCAGACAGUGAGUUAACAGCUACUAAUGAUCAGGGAGAGAAUGUUGUCGUAUCUAGGAGGUUGAUUAAACGAAGUUGUCGUUCAAAGGUUAAUUCAGUGGUUUAACCUGUUACCAGAAGAGGCCGCCCCUAGAAGAUCCCUCUUUCAUUGAAAGGCAGGUUCCAGAUUUUCAGGACUGAUUAUGCUUUAGGACAAUGUUGCACUUCUUGUUAUUUUAAUUCUGCAAUGUCGUUUAUAUCUUUAGCUGUUGCCGUUUGUUUGUUUGUUUGUUUUUUUUGUUUUGAUUUUUGUGUGCUCAUUACGGUGUCGUGGAGAAUAUCUUCCGGUAACGGGCGGAAGUUUAUUAGUCGCACGUGUCGUAAACUUAUGGUUUAUUUAUAAUCAAUUUGUUAUAGUUAUAAGUGCGCUCAUGUCAAUAAAGAGAAAUAAUAAUCUGUUCCUUUCUA